CCUACGGGAGGCAGCAGUGAGGAAUAUUGGGCAAUGGAGGAAACUCUGACCCAGCCAUGCCGCGUGAGUGAAGAAGGUUUUCGAAUUGUAAAGCUCUUUCGGAUGUGAAGAUGAUGACGGUAACAUCUAAAGAAGCCCCGGCAAACUUCGUGCCAGCAGCCGCGGUAAUACGAAGGGGGCAAGCGUUGUUCGGAAUUACUGGGCGUAAAGGGUGUGUAGGCGGGAAAGUAAGAUAGUGGUGAAAUGCCUGAGCUCAACUUGGGAACUGCCAUUAUAACUAUUUUUCUAGAGUGACAGAGAGGAUAUUGGAAUACCCAGUGUAGAGGUGAAAUUCGUAGAUAUUGGGUAGAACACCGGAGGCGAAGGCGAGUAUCUGGCUGUCAACUGACGCUGAGGCACGAAAGCAUGGGGAUCAAACAGGAUUAGAUACCCCAGUAGUC
rnacentral:rRNA from 1 species